rnacentral:lncRNA from 1 species
UAAUUUGAAAAACCAAACACACUCACUAUUUUAAAAAAUUUAAAGUAGAAAGUCUCUUACAACUUAUUUUUAUAUCUCAACUCUCUAAAAUAGGAUACUUACAUUAAGAGAGUAUCUUGAAAAUGCUAUUAACAGCCCUACAUACACACACAGGCCCAAAAUAAUCUACAGCAAGAAAUCAACAGAAUACUUGUAUUAAACACUAUUAUCCAAACUGUCAAUGAGAAUCAAAUUAAAAUGGAAGGGGUACCAAAGUGGCUAAAUCCCACAGAAAUUCAGCUCAAAACUCUGCACAGAAUCCAAACAGAGACACAGAAUUGAAGAGUAGAGCUUCGAGCCUACUUGAGCUCAACAAUCCAACCCAUUUUAUCCUCAGCAAGUCCCAUUUGUAGGCUGGUGAGUGAGGAAUAUAGUUGCUGGGACACAACUCCAACCCCUUCGCUUCNCA